GUUAUGUGCGUUGCAGUUCAGUGAAGGUUCUCUGUGUUUAGGUUCGACCGCUUGACACAUUUGGGUUUUCUAAACGAGAUUGUCUCUGUCAGGUGCUGCUGUUUGGAGCAGAAAAAAAAAAAAAGAUAGAAGUUGCUGAAUAUCUCGCACGGGGACUUGAACCACGAUUUCCUGGAUAUCACGAUUUCAGAGGACGCACGUCAAGACUCCCGAAAAAGAAAUUUCGCAGCACUCACCAUUUGUCGCUUACGGUAUCAUGAGUGGCACAGAUGACGAGGGACCAGGUGAGUUGAGGGAAGUUCGCUGCAUACCAUGCGGUGACACUGGCGAUGCCGGUACUUCCAGCACAGCGGAGCCACCUAGAGGGAAACGCAACCUGGGCGAUGUUCUUCUCGACGUGCGCGAAAUGGAGAGCCUGACGCCAGAACGUAUUGUCAAUGACUUCACUCCAUCCGUACACAUGGGCGAUGGAAGAGACGACACUCAGAAGCGCAGUCCGGCAAAGGGUUCUGAGGGUCCAACAGCUCGGGGUAUCUCCGGAUUAUCCAGGGUGUCGUUCGCAGAUAUUGGCCUAGACGCUAUAUCUCUAAAGAGUCUCCUAGACGGUGGAAGUAUCGACGAGAGGGAGCUCAUCAUGAAUCUAUUGAACGAAGAGAAGCUCGACCGUAAGACGAUUUUAACGGACACUGACAUCCAGCCAUCGAGUUCUCUGAAGCUGACAUUUUCCCAGGAGGUACAAACAUCGUUGGACUGUAAAUAUCCAACGGUACUUUCUCAACAUGCGAUGGAUUUCAUACGCCACGUGAGAAAUAGCCCGUUACCUAAAGAGAUCCAGACAUACAUGAUACUGCUCAAAGUGAAACCAUCACUGUGGAAGUAUGAAGGUACACGUGACACCGAAAAUGACGACGAAGACAGCAGGGAUUCCGUGUAUUCUCCAGAUGUUUAGACUGCGUAGAAACAGCGAGAUAAAUAUAGCAUGGGAAGCCAUCACUUUACAAUGGCAUGGGAUGUUUCUAGUAAAAUAGCUACGAAGAACGAACGAAGAACGAAGUUUAGGAACUGUUAAUGUGGUAAGACUGUAGAAUGAAGAGAAACUUUCGUUCAUUAAAAUUGAGUCAACCGUGAUUAAAUA